rnacentral:rRNA from 1 species
UACAGAGGAGCCAAGCGUUGUCCGGAUUGACUGGGCGUAAAGCGCACGCAGGCGGAUGCGCGCGUGGGGUGUGAAAUCUGGCCGCUUAACGGCCAGGCGCCAUCCCAUACGGCGCGUCUGGAGUGAUGCAGAGGUCGAUGGAAUUGCCGGUGUAGUGGUGAAAUGCGUAGAGAUCGGCAGGAACACCCAGGGGGAAACCAGUCGACUGGGCAUCUACUGACGCUGAGGAGCGAAAGCGUGGGAGCGAACAGG